rnacentral:rRNA from 1 species
ACUCAAAUGAAUAGACGGGGGCCCGCACAAGCGGUGGAGCAUGUGGUUUAAUUCGAUGCAACGCGAAAAACCUUACCUGGAUUUGACAUCCGUCGACAACCCUAGAAGUAGGGCUUCCUCUUCGGAGGCGGCGAGACAGGUGCUGCAUGGCUGUCGUCAGCUCGUAUCGUGAGAUGUCGGGUUAAGUCCCUUAACGAGCGCAACCCUUAUCCCUAGUUGCCACCAUUCAGUUGGGCACUCUAUGGAGACCGCCGGUGUUAAACCGGAGGAAGGCGGGGAUGACGUCAAGUCCUCAUGGCCUUUAUAUCCAGGGCUACACACGUGCUACAAUGGCCGAUACAGAGGGUAGCCAACCUGCAAAGGGGAGCUAAUCUCAGAAAGUCGGUCUCAGUUCGGAUUGAAGUCUGCAACUCGACUUCAUGAAGCUGGAAUCGCUAGUAAUCGCGGAUCAGCACGCCGCGGUGAAUACGUUCCCGGGCCUUGCACACACCGCCCGU